rnacentral:pre_miRNA from 1 species
CAUAUACUUCCUCCGUUCAACGAAGGAUGUCUCAAGUUUGUCAAAAUUUGGAUGUAUCUAAACAUGAUUUAGUGUAUACAUGCAUUCAAAUUUAGUCGAAAUUGAGACAUCGUUUGUUGGACGGUGUGAGUACGAU